rnacentral:tRNA from 1 species
AGCUCCGUGGUGUAAGGCUCAUUGAAUUGCAAAUUCAAAGGUGUAGGCUAAUUGCCUACCGGGGCUU